AUGGACGGUGGAAAUUGAAUAAUCUUUAAAAUUUGAGCAUAGGACUUUUAAAUUCAAGAUCAAGAAUAUUAAUCUUAAUCUAGAUAGUUUAAAGUAUUUCUAUCAAAAUUUGAAGAAAUUUAGAUUCUUCUACACUGUUAAACUCCAAACUCGCGAUAGUAGCCAUUGAAAAUUGACAAUUUUGAAAUGGUCUGAUCAUAAAGUUAACUAUGUCGAAAAAAUAUAAAAUUUUAUUUGUAAAAACUUUAAAUACCCUAGAUCAGUUUUAACGGUGUGGAUCGUUGAUUUGAACACUCUAAGAUUGAAAACGAGACUAUAGUACCGGAGCCCCGGUACUAUAGAUAGUAUAGGAGACUAGCUCUCUCUCUCUCUCUCUCUCUCUCUCUCUCUCUCUUUAUAUAUAUAUAUAUAUAUACUAAAUUCAAUUUUAAAUUAAAAUUUCAAUUUCAAAUUCUCAGGUAUU
rnacentral:lncRNA from 1 species